rnacentral:lncRNA from 1 species
CUGGAGAACAGUCACUUCUCAGCUCCUCUGAUGCAUUGGCGUGGGUGAACAAGUUAGAGCUUGCCAGGAAAUCAGUGAAGCAACACAUAUGCAGCUGCUAGAAGAGGAGUGUAAAGGAGAGCUGGUGGCUUUGGAAGGUUGCUGUUUAUAUGUCUGCUGAAGGAUAGGGGAUCCUAUUCAUCAGUGGCAUUUGGAAAUAGAGCUGGAUGCAGAGUGGAGAGUGAUAACAAGCUGAAUCCACUGGAUGAACUUCAAAGAGUAAUGGCUGCUGCUUCAUUUCUGCUUUCCAAAUCACAUUGGAUUAUCUUUUGACCACCUCUGAGAACCAUAUGGGGAAAGAGGAUUCUGGGCAAUAUUGUUCCAGGUCAAACAAGCUGAUAAACUACAAGCUGAUAAACUACAAAACAACCGCACUCCAGCUCAUGUCAGCUUGGUGUCAUUCACAUCUCUUUUAUCCAUAUUUGCAUCUAAUAGUUCUCUCUCUUGCUGCCAUGUGAAGAAGAAAGUUCUUGCUUCCCCUUCUGCUGAGAUUAUAAGUUUCCUGAGGCCUCCCCAGCCACGCUGAACUGUGAGUCAAUUAAACUUCUUUCCUUUAUAAAUUACUCAGUCUCGAGUAUGUCUUUAUUAAAAGUGUGAGAACUAACUAAUACAGUAAAUUGGUACUGCAGAGAGUGGGACAUUGCUGUAAAGAUACCUGAAAAUGUGGAAGCGAAUUUGGAACUGG